UGCCUAGGAAAUUGCCCUGAUGUGGGGGAUAACCAUUGGAAACGAUGGCUAAUACCGCAUGAUGCCUACGGGCCAAAGAGGGGGACCUUCGGGCCUCUCGCGUCAGGAUAUGCCUAGGUGGGAUUAGCUAGUUGGUGAGGUAAGGGCUCACCAAGGCGACGAUCCCUAGCUGGUCUGAGAGGAUGAUCAGCCACACUGGAACUGAGACACGGUCCAGACUCCUACGGGAGGCAGCAGUGGGGAAUAUUGCACAAUGGGCGCAAGCCUGAUGCAGCCAUGCCGCGUGUGUGAAGAAGGCCUUCGGGUUGUAAAGCACUUUCAGUCGUGAGGAAGGCGGGUACGUUAAUAGCGUAUUCGUUUGACGUUAGCGACAGAAGAAGCACCGGCUAACUCCGUG
rnacentral:rRNA from 1 species